GCGGGUGUGGCGGAAUUGGCAGACGCACUAGAUUUAGGAUCUAGCGCCUUCGGGCGUGGGGGGUUCAAGUCCCUUCACCCGCA
rnacentral:tRNA from 2 species